rnacentral:rRNA from 1 species
CUUAAGCCGGAGGAAGUGGGGAUGAUGUCAAGUCAGCAUGGCCUUUAUAUCCUGGGCUACACACACGCUACAAUGGCCAACACAAUAGGUUGCUAAAGCCGCGAGGUGGCGCCAAUCCAUAAAGUUGGUCUCAGUUCAGAUUGUAGGCUGCAACCCGCCUGCAUGAAGAUGGAGUUGCUAGUAACCGCAGGUCAGCUAUACUGCGGUGAAUACGUUCCCGGGCUU